rnacentral:misc_RNA from 1 species
GAUGAAGAACGUAGCGAAAUGCGAUACGUAGUGUGAAUUGCAGAAUUCAGUGAAUCAUCGAAUCUUUGAACGCACAUUGCACCUCUCGGUAUUCCGGGAGGUAUGCCUGUUCGAGCGUCAUUUGUACCCUCAAGCUCUGCUUGGUGUUGGGUGUUUGUCUCGCCUCUGCGUGUAGACUCGCCUCAAAACAAUUGGCAGCCGGCGUAUUGAUUUCGGAGCGCAGUACAUCUCGCGCUUUGCACUCAUAACGACGACGUCCAAAAGUACAUUUUUACACUCUUGACCUCGGAUCAGGUAGGGAUACCCGCUGAACUUAAGCAUAUCAAUAAGCGGAGGA